GGGUUGUGAGGUUAAGCGACUAAGCGUACACGGUGGAUGCCCUGGCAGUCAGAGGCGAUGAAGGACGUGCUAAUCUGCGAUAAGCGUCGGUAAGGUGAUAUGAACCGUUAUAACCGGCGAUUUCCGAAUGGGGAAACCCAGUGUGUUUCGACACACUAUCAUUAACUGAAUCCAUAGGUUAAUGAGGCGAACCGGGGGAACUGAAACAUCUAAGUACCCCGAGGAAAAGAAAUCAACCGAGAUUCCCCCAGUAGCGGCGAGCGAACGGGGAGCAGCCCAGAGCCUGAAUCAGUGUGUGUGUUAGUGGAAGCGUCUGGAAAGGCGCGCGAUACAGGGUGACAGCCCCGUACACAAAAAUGCACAUGCUGUGAGCUCGAUGAGUAGGGCGGGACACGUGGUAUCCUGUCUGAAUAUGGGGGGACCAUCCUCCAAGGCUAAAUACUCCUGACUGACCGAUAGUGAACCAGUACCGUGAGGGAAAGGCGAAAAGAACCCCGGCGAGGGGAGUGAAAAAGAACCUGAAACCGUGUACGUACAAGCAGUGGGAGCACGCUUAGGCGUGUGACUGCGUACCUUUUGUAUAAUGGGUCAGCGACUUAUAUUCUGUAGCAAGGUUAACCGAAUAGGGGAGCCGAAGGGAAACCGAGUCUUAACUGGGCGUUAAGUUGCAGGGUAUAGACCCGAAACCCGGUGAUCUAGCCAUGGGCAGGUUGAAGGUUGGGUAACACUAACUGGAGGACCGAACCGACUAAUGUUGAAAAAUUAGCGGAUGACUUGUGGCUGGGGGUGAAAGGCCAAUCAAACCGGGAGAUAGCUGGUUCUCCCCGAAAGCUAUUUAGGUAGCGCCUCGUGAAUUCAUCUCCGGGGGUAGAGCACUGUUUCGGCAAGGGGGUCAUCCCGACUUACCAACCCGAUGCAAACUGCGAAUACCGGAGAAUGUUAUCACGGGAGACACACGGCGGGUGCUAACGUCCGUCGUGAAGAGGGAAACAACCCAGACCGCCAGCUAAGGUCCCAAAGUCAUGGUUAAGUGGGAAACGAUGUGGGAAGGCCCAGACAGCCAGGAUGUUGGCUUAGAAGCAGCCAUCAUUUAAAGAAAGCGUAAUAGCUCACUGGUCGAGUCGGCCUGCGCGGAAGAUGUAACGGGGCUAAACCAUGCACCGAAGCUGCGGCAGCGACACUUAUGUGUUGUUGGGUAGGGGAGCGUUCUGUAAGCCUGUGAAGGUGUGCUGUGAGGCAUGCUGGAGGUAUCAGAAGUGCGAAUGCUGACAUAAGUAACGAUAAAGCGGGUGAAAAGCCCGCUCGCCGGAAGACCAAGGGUUCCUGUCCAACGUUAAUCGGGGCAGGGUGAGUCGACCCCUAAGGCGAGGCCGAAAGGCGUAGUCGAUGGGAAACAGGUUAAUAUUCCUGUACUUGGUGUUACUGCGAAGGGGGGACGGAGAAGGCUAUGUUGGCCGGGCGACGGUUGUCCCGGUUUAAGCGUGUAGGCUGGUUUUCCAGGCAAAUCCGGAAAAUCAAGGCUGAGGCGUGAUGACGAGGCACUACGGUGCUGAAGCAACAAAUGCCCUGCUUCCAGGAAAAGCCUCUAAGCAUCAGGUAACAUCAAAUCGUACCCCAAACCGACACAGGUGGUCAGGUAGAGAAUACCAAGGCGCUUGAGAGAACUCGGGUGAAGGAACUAGGCAAAAUGGUGCCGUAACUUCGGGAGAAGGCACGCUGAUAUGUAGGUGAAGUCCCUCGCGGAUGGAGCUGAAAUCAGUCGAAGAUACCAGCUGGCUGCAACUGUUUAUUAAAAACACAGCACUGUGCAAACACGAAAGUGGACGUAUACGGUGUGACGCCUGCCCGGUGCCGGAAGGUUAAUUGAUGGGGUUAGCCGCAAGGCGAAGCUCUUGAUCGAAGCCCCGGUAAACGGCGGCCGUAACUAUAACGGUCCUAAGGUAGCGAAAUUCCUUGUCGGGUAAGUUCCGACCUGCACGAAUGGCGUAAUGAUGGCCAGGCUGUCUCCACCCGAGACUCAGUGAAAUUGAACUCGCUGUGAAGAUGCAGUGUACCCGCGGCAAGACGGAAAGACCCCGUGAACCUUUACUAUAGCUUGACACUGAACAUUGAGCCUUGAUGUGUAGGAUAGGUGGGAGGCUUAGAAGUGUGGACGCCAGUCUGCAUGGAGCCGACCUUGAAAUACCACCCUUUAAUGUUUGAUGUUCUAACGUUGACCCGUAAUCCGGGUUGCGGACAGUGUCUGGUGGGUAGUUUGACUGGGGCGGUCUCCUCCUAAAGAGUAACGGAGGAGCACGAAGGUUGGCUAAUCCUGGUCGGACAUCAGGAGGUUAGUGCAAUGGCAUAAGCCAGCUUGACUGCGAGCGUGACGGCGCGAGCAGGUGCGAAAGCAGGUCAUAGUGAUCCGGUGGUUCUGAAUGGAAGGGCCAUCGCUCAACGGAUAAAAGGUACUCCGGGGAUAACAGGCUGAUACCGCCCAAGAGUUCAUAUCGACGGCGGUGUUUGGCACCUCGAUGUCGGCUCAUCACAUCCUGGGGCUGAAGUAGGUCCCAAGGGUAUGGCUGUUCGCCAUUUAAAGUGGUACGCGAGCUGGGUUUAGAACGUCGUGAGACAGUUCGGUCCCUAUCUGCCGUGGGCGCUGGAGAACUGAGGGGGGCUGCUCCUAGUACGAGAGGACCGGAGUGGACGCAUCACUGGUGUUCGGGUUGUCAUGCCAAUGGCACUGCCCGGUAGCUAAAUGCGGAAGAGAUAAGUGCUGAAAGCAUCUAAGCACGAAACUUGCCCCGAGAUGAGUUCUCCCUGACUCCUUGAGAGUCCUGAAGGAACGUUGAAGACGACGACGUUGAUAGGCCGGGUGUGUAAGCGCAGCGAUGCGUUGAGCUAACCGGUACUAAUGAACCGUGAGGCUUAACCUUACAACGCCGAAGGUGUUU
rnacentral:rRNA from 1 species